rnacentral:rRNA from 1 species
CAAUAGCGUAUAUUAAAGUUGUUGCAGUUAAAAAGCUCGUAGUUGGAUUUCUGGUGGGAGCGAUCGGUCUGGCGCUUAGCGCGAGUACUUGCAUCGUCUCCGGCCAUCCUUGGGGAGAGUCUGUCUGGCAUUAGGUUGUCGGGCAGAGGAUCCUCAUCGUUUACUGUGAAAAAAUUAGAGUGUUCAAAGCAGGCUUAUGCCGUUGAAUAUAUUAGCAUGGAAUAAUAAGAUAGGACUUUGGUACUAUUUUGUUGGUUUGCGCACCAAAGUAAUGAUUAAUAGGGACAGUUGGGGGUAUUCGUAUUCCGUUGUCAGAGGUGAAACUCUUGGAUUUACGGAAGACGAACUACUGCGAAAGCAUUUACCAAGGAUGUUUUCAUUA